rnacentral:lncRNA from 1 species
AUGCAGGGACUGGUCCCAAGCUGUCCAGUCUUGGAGCAUAGUGGAAUUCUUGGGAGAUCUUCAAAUAUGUUCUGUUGGCAUUGGUUGCUAAGAGACUGGUGCCUAGUGCUUGCCUGGAGAAGGCUGGGGCUGGGGCUCAUGAAAGCUGCCCACGAUGGCAAAGCAGGGCCUUCAACAGCUAAAAGGACACCAAGAACAGCAUCCGCCACGAGAUCUCGCAUCCUUCUCACUACUCUAACCUUGGAAUAUCCAUCGGCAAUUAGGCGAGUCAGGAACAAGACUGAAGCCACACCCUUCACUUUGCCUGAGAUGCUGCUGCUUGCUCCAAAAGAGGGCCGGAGUCCAGCUUUGAAGUUCUUGUCUUCUGGUUGGAAUUUCUGUUGGUAG